rnacentral:rRNA from 1 species
CCUACGGGUGGCAGCAGUGGGGGAUAUUGCUCAAUGGGGGGAACCCUGAUGCAGCGACGCCGCGUGGGUGAAGCAGCUUUUCGGCGUGUAACGCCCUAUCGGUAGGGAAGAAAAUGACGGUAUCUGACCAAGAAGCCCCGGCUAACUACGUGCCAGCAGCCGCGGUAAUACGUAGGGGGCCAGCGUUAUCCGGAUUUACUGGGUGUAAAGGGGGCGCAGGCGGCAAUGCAAGUCAGAAGUGAAAGCCCGGGGCUCAACCCCAGGACUGCGCUUGAAACUGCAGGGCUGGAGUACAGGAGUGGCAGGCGGAAUUCCUAGUGUAGCGGUAAAAUUCGUAGAUAUUAGGAGGAACAC